GCCGGCGUAGCUCAGUUGGUAGAGCAACUGAUUUGUAAUCAGUAGGUCGGGGGUUCAAGUCCCUUCGCCGGCUCCA
rnacentral:tRNA from 2 species